rnacentral:rRNA from 1 species
GAUCCUGGCUCAGGAUGAACGCUGGCGGCGUGCUUAACACAUGCAAGUCGAGCGAAGCGAUUUAAAUGAGACUUCGGUGGAUUUUAAAUUGACUGAGCGGCGGACGGGUGAGUAACGCGUGGAUAACCUGCCUCACACAGGGGGGAUAACAGUUAGAAAUGACUGCUAAUACCGCAUAAGCGCACGGUACCGCAUGGUACAGUGUGAAAAACUCCGGUGGUAUGAGAUGGACCCGCGUUGGA